GUAUUGGAAAUACAGUGUUACACAAAACAGAAAAUAUUUCUUCUGGUGAGCUUUUAUCCCAGCAGAGAAAAGCAGAAGGUAAACAAAUAAACACAUACUAAGCAAGAUGAUCCCAGGUAAUAGAAAACAUUAAGGAGAAAACAAAACAGAGUGAUGGAGAAAUUGGUUAGUCAAUUUAAGAUGGAGCUGCAGGAAGCAUUCCUUCUAAGAAGGGAAUAUUUAUGCCAAGACAUGAUUGGCAAUUGGUGGGAAGGAGUCAGCACAAGAGCCUCUGGGAUGGGGGAAUCAGAGACAUAAAUUACUGCAAAGUCCUUGAGACAGGAAGGAACUUGGCUUAUUUGGGCAGCAGACAGAAUAUCAGCAAAGCUGUAUCUUCAGAAACAUUAGCUACUAGUAAGCUCUUUUUCAGCAUAAAAAACACUACUUGAUCUGAU
rnacentral:lncRNA from 1 species